UUACCAUUUUUCACUUAAAAAAAACGGCUUAUCUCCAUAAUGUAACAUUACCGUUUUAUAAAAAAACAAAAAACAUUAUAUAUAAUUUCGAAAAUAAUAAAUAUAUGUAAACAUACAACAUAAAAAAUAGAAAUACUACAUUAAACAUAUGUAAGAUUACCAUUUUACAUUUUUAUUUUUAAAAAUAAUAUGCAAACAUAUAACAUAAAAAAUGGAAAAACUACAUUAACCAUAUGUAAGAUUACAAUUUUUCACUAAAAAAAAGACGGCUUAUCUCCAUAAUGUAACAUUACCAUUUUGUAAAAAAACAUUAUAUAUAAUUUUGAAAAUGAUAAAUAAUAUGUAAACAUAUAACAUAAAAAAUGGAAAUACUACACUAAACAUAUGUAAGAUUACCAUUUUACAUUUAAAAAUAACAAUAAUAUGUAAACAUACAACAUAAAAAAAUGGAAAUCUACAUUAAACAUAUGUAAGAUUACUAUUUUUCACUAAAAAAACGGUUUAUCUCCAUAAUAUAACAUUACCAUUUUAUAAAAAAAAAGAAAAAAAAACAUAAAUAUAACUAUUUUACAUUUUACAUUUUUAUAUUGUAAAAUUACCAUUUUACAUUUUUAUUUUAAAAAAUAAUAUGCAAACAUACAACAUAAAAAAUGAAAAAACUACAUUAACCAUAUGUAAGAUUACAAUUUUUCACUAAAAAAAAGACGGCUUAUCUCCAUAAUGUAACAUUACUAUUUUGUAAAAAAAAUUAUAUAUAAUUUUGAAAAUGAUAAAUAAUAUGUAAACAUACAACAUAAAAAAUGGAAAUACUACACUAAACAUAUGUAAGAUUACCAUUUUACAUUUAAAAAUAACAAUAAUAUGUAAACAUACAACAUAAAAAAAUGGAAAUCUACAUUAAGCAUAUGUAAGAUUAUUAUUUUUCACUAAAAAACGGUUUAUCUCCAUAAUGUAACAUUACCAUUUUAUAAAAAAAUAAAAAAAAACAUAAAUAUAACUAUUUGACUAUUUGUCCAAAUUCUUCUAUUAAACAUUGUCGUUGUACAUUAAAAAUGGAAAAAUACAUUAAAACUUAAACAUCUAUCUUAAAAUAUAAAAUAUAGAUAUUAACUAAAUAUAAAGUAUAAGAAAGAGAAAUACUCAAUAUAUAGAAAAAUAAAUAAUAAGUAUAUAUUAUAAAUAUAUAAAUAUACGAAUUAUAUAUACAAUAAUAAGUAAAUGCACAAUUUUAAAAAAAUGGAAAGAAUACAUUAAAUAUUAAACACCUAUCUUAAAAAUGUAAAAUAUAGAUAUUAAGUAAAUAGAAAGUAUAAGAAAAAGAAAU
rnacentral:lncRNA from 1 species